ACCUCUGCUUAGAAGUAUACACAUGCACUUAAAAUAAAAAAUUAUCGGCGUUAGAGGUAUACACAUUUUUUUUUAUAGUGAAAGGAAUAAAUUUAUAAAUAUUUUAACCAAUAAAACAUUAAACUAAAAUUGAAAACAAAAUGAUUAAACAAGAAAUUCAAAGUAAUUCCAAUCCUGCAAAAGAAAAUGGCCAGCUCCACAGCCAGACUAAACCACCUGCAGAUGACCAUUUGCGUAAAAUGUUUUUGGGCGGUUUAUCACCCAAUUCAACGGAAGAGUCUGUGCGCGCUUUUUAUAGUCAAUUUGGUGAGGUCAUUGAUGUGAUCAUUAUGCGUGAUCCGACAACAAAACGUUCACGAGGAUUUGGUUUCAUUACGUUCAAGGAUUCCACCAUGGUUGACAGAGCACAAGAAUCCCGACCUCAUGUUGUUGAUGGAAAAACCGUCGACUCAAAACGUGCCUUGCCACGACCAGAAGUUGGUUCCACAGAAGCAAAUUCUUCCGUUAAAAAGGUAUUUGUUGGUGGCCUUAAGGAGUAUCACGAUGAACAAUGUCUGAAAGAACAUUUUCAACAAUUUGGCAAUAUAUUAGGCGUUAAAAUAUUGACAGACAAGAAUACGGGACGUAAGCGUGGUUUUGCAUUUGUUGAAUUUGAUGAUUAUGAUUCAGUCGACAAAGCAGUAUUAUUUAAAAAUCACACAAUCAAAUAUGUUCUCGUAGAUGUCAAAAAAUCAAACUACAAACAGGAACAGGCUAAAAAAUUAGCUGCUCAGCAACAAGGUGCUCCAAUUGGCAUGAUUUCCGCAGUACAAGCGGCGCCAGGUGGCUAUCAACAGCCAGCAGCGGCUUACAAUCAACAAGCCGCCUAUGGUUAUGCCCCCGCUCCCAACUAUAAUGGCUGGGGAACAGGUUAUGCUCAAGCACCACAAGCAGCUUAUCAACAGCCAGCCGCCUAUGGAGCCUAUGCUGCUCCACCACAAACUGCUGCUCAACCCCAAUGGAAUGCCACAACGUAUGCUGCACCACAGGCAAGUUGGGGUCAAAAUGGUUACGCUGCACCUGCUGCAGUUCCUGUAGCUCCAGCAGCCGUACCUGCGGCUAAUGGUUGGAAUACAGCGGCAGCAUCCCCAACAAACACGGCGCAAAACUUUGGCAGUUAUCAACAGACUUAUAAUGGUGGUCCACAGAAGGCUGGUAGUUUGCAGGGCAAUCGUAUGAAUCCAUAUAGUGUUGCAGCAGCACCAACGUAUGGCUCGCAUGUGGUUUCGCCUAUAAAUAAUUCCAUGACUAAUUUAGCAAAAAAGCCACGUAUACAGUAUUAAUAUCUUAUUCAAGUUAUGAAGAAAUCAAAUUUACGUUCUAGACUUUUUAAAAAUGUCUAUAAACUAAAAAAAAACUAUAAAAAACAUUCAUUCAUCCAUACAUUCCCCAUGCAUGAACUUAAGUUUGCAAAAGAUUAAAAAUGUAAAAUUUAAAAACACCUUAUAUUACACACAGGCAAUUAAGAUGUUUCUCUCUCUAAAUAUAUUUAUAAAUAUAACACUUAUUUAAGAAUGUAUUAAAAAAAACAAGAUUAAAAGGUCUCAUAAUUAAGAACAUCUGAGUGAGUGAGAUAGAUAACACAGAAAAUUAAAAAAAAAAAAAAACUUAAAAAUAAUUUUACAUAAUAAAACAAAAACUAUUUGCUGAGAAUGAAAUUACUAUAAAGGACAAAUCUAUGAAUUAUAUAUUUAUUUAAAAAUAUAUACAUAUAAAUACUUUUAAUCAUCACCAAUAUAUUAUAUACUAUAUAAUUAUAAAAAAACCACUUUUAAACUACAACAACAACAAAAAAACAACGAUAAAACCAUAAACAAUUGUUGCCAAUCUACCUAAAAACUACUCUUAAUUACAAACAACAAGAACAACAACUACCUACCAUAUCUAUCUAUAUAUGAGAAGUAUUCUUUAAAAAAAGUUCCUCUUUUGCGGGAGAAAAUAAAUUCAACGCCACUGUUUGCUACUGAUGAACCGGAAAAGCAUACAACAAACACAACAUUUUAAA
rnacentral:misc_RNA from 1 species